rnacentral:snRNA from 1 species
GUUUUUUAUAUAUGGCAGCAUCCAAAGAUAAGAAUAAUGCAGAGAAAGUUAGCAUAGCCCCCAUGCAAGGAUGACAUGCAAGUUUGUGGGGCAUUAAAAAAGGAU